AUUGAACGCUGGCGGCGUGCUUAACACAUGCAAGUCGAACGGUAAGGCCCUUCGGGGUACACGAGUGGCGAACGGGUGAGUAACACGUGGGUGAUCUGCCCUGCACUUCGGGAUAAGCCUGGGAAACUGGGUCUAAUACCGGAUAGGACCACUGCCUGCAUGGGUGGUGGUGGAAAGCUUUUGCGGUGUGGGAUGGGCCCGCGGCCUAUCAGCUUGUUGGUGGGGUGAUGGCCUACCAAGGCGACGACGGGUAGCCGGCCUGAGAGGGUGACCGGCCACACUGGGACUGAGAUACGGCCCAGACGCCUACGGGAGGCAGCAGUGGGGAAUAUUGCACAAUGGGCGCAAGCCUGAUGCAGCGACGCCGCGUGAGGGAUGACGGCCUUCGGGUUGUAAACCUCUUUCAGCACCGACGAAGCGCAAGUGACGGUAGGUGCAGAAGAAGGACCGGCCAACUACGUGCCAGCAGCCGCCGUAA
rnacentral:rRNA from 1 species